rnacentral:rRNA from 1 species
CCUACGGGAGGCAGCAGUGAGGAAUAUUGGUCAAUGGCCGGGAGGCUGAACCAGCCAAGUCGCGUGAGGGAAGACGGCCCUACGGGUUGUAAACCUCUUUUGUCAGGGAGCAAGGUGCAGGUCGGGACAGGCGGGGAGAGGAACUGAAGAAAAAGCAUCGGCUAAAUCCGUGCCAGCAGCCGCGGUAAUAAGGAGGAUGCGAGCGUUAUCCGGAUGUAUUGGGGUUAAAGGGUGCGCAGGCGGAGGUACAAGGCAGCGGUAAAAUCGCGGGGCUCAACCCCGCUCCGCCGUUGAAACUGUGUCCCUUGAGUGCGCGAAGGGUAGGCGGAAUGCGUGGUGUAGCGGUGAAAUGCAUAGAGAUCACGCAGAACUCCGAUCGCGAAGGCAGCCUACCGGCGCGCAACUGACGCUCAUGCACGAAAGCGUGGGUAUCGAACAGGAUUAGAUACCCUAGUAGUC